GAGGGUAUAGCUCUGUGGUAGAGUGUGUGCUUAGCAUGCAUGAGGCCCUGGGUUCAACCCCCAGCACCUCCA
rnacentral:tRNA from 1 species